AUUCCCUCCUCUUGAAAUACCCUUCCCCUGACUUUUCAUAUAUCUGGUUCCUUCUUGGCUGAAAUGUCACCUCCUUGGGUUGUCUCGUCUGUCCUCCUUGUCUACAGUAGGUCCCUCUAUUUUCCUCUAUCACCAUCCCUUUCCUCAUAGACUGAUCACAGUUUAUCGUUACUCAUUUACUUGCUUGCUGUUUUAGGUCUCUAGGAAUAGAUCUUGAGAAGAGCACUCAGGUACAAGUGACUUAUCAAGGACUGAUUUCCAGGGGAGAUGGUUAAGGGAGUGUCGGUAGCAGGGUAGGAAGGGGGAAGAGGACAGAGAAGGGUGGGACUUCGGGUAAAACCCCAGCCUCAACGUGGUUCCAUAAGGCAGCUCAACAGCAUAAAUCCUGCCUAAAUUUAUCUCAACUUGAAGCAGAUGCGCCGCAUUUUCCCAUUCCUUCACCGGUCAGUCAUUGGCUAAGGGUUGCUGGGGGCGGGGUCAACACCCAAACACUUCCAACUCCCUGCAGCUGCCCAAGAGCAGGUGUGGCCGUCAUGGCAGACGCACACAGGAGCCAGAGCAGAGGCACACAGAAAUAGUGGAAGGGAUCCCAAGGAGUAAGGCUAGGAUAGGAUAGUACUGACUACACUUGCUGAUUGACUGCAUCCUGCAUAAAAAAGGAAGUCCCCCCAGAGCAGAUACCUUAUCUCCUGUUCACUCUCACAUCACAGAUUCUAUUUGCAUAGCACCUGCCACAUAGUUGGCAAUCAAUACGUUUUUUAAAUGAAUGAACAAAUGAAUGAAGCUCCCGGUACAGUAUGUGGCAUAAAGAAUGUUCAAUUAAUAUUAUUGGAAAUGACAUGCUUUUUCCCCCUGCUUUUAGGUUUAUAACCAUAAGAGAGAGAUGCUUAGGCAUAGGGCUUCAGAAACGUGGGCUAUUAAGAAAAAGUUCUGGAAAGAGAGAGACUGACCCUGGAGAGGCAUCUGAGAUUUUAAAGUAACCGCUACACCCAAUGUGAGGCUUGAACUCACAACCCUGAAUCAAGAGACACCUACUCUACCGACUGACCCAGCCAGGUGCUCCAAUAAUGGAUAACUUUUUAACAGCCACCCGUGAGGAUACAUGCCUAUGCCUGGAAAGCGUCACAGCAAUGUGUGGCCGAGCCACAGAGGUGGCAGUUACGUAACCGUCUGAUGGACCACUAUUGACCAGGGAGCUCUGUCAGGGAGCCUUCUGGACAUAGACCCAGGGCCAUGGGCCGGGAGUGGGGCUUAGGCCAGGGGCCUGAGAAAAGUGGGACAUCUCCAGAGUAGAUGCUGAGUUCAGCAACAACAACACGUACCACCUAGGCAGUCUGGCUCAUCACCAUGAGCAGCAGGAAGCUGCAGCUGCAAAAACGAACUUUUCUAGUUCGUAGUGAAAGGGGGUGAGCACUUGCGUCAUUGAACAUCAAAUAUAUCACAAACACGAGAGCUUAAUGGGGCCAGUGUGAUACUCAGGAAGAGGCAAUAAAAAUUGGUAAGAAGGUAAGCAGAAGCAGAUAAACUAUUCCCUGUUGCGGAGGAACAGGAAUUCAUAAAAGAAUUCACUGGGUAUAAACUCAGAUUUCUGUUUGAGAAAGCCGCGCAUUAUGUUGUGUAGUUUGUAUUUAGGACUGUUUUAAAAAUUAUGUUUAUUUCCUUUUGUCGUUUUCCGGAGACCUGAGUUAAAGAACCCCAUGAGAUAGGGUAUCUAUGAGCAUGACCGAGAUGGCUGAGUUGUGGCCCAGAGAUGCCAAGCAUUGGCCGUUUAGAGCUCUUUUCAAGACUGUGUUGAGAAUUUAUUGACCAGUCACCUUCCUCCCAGUCUCUCUGUCCUCUGGCAAUUCCUGCAUACUGCCGCUAGAAUUUAGAGGUAAAUCCUGGAUGGUUUAGAUUGCUAUCAAUUGCGUAAAAGAGAAAGUUGCAAAAGUUCAAUGCCUUUUGUAAUCUCUUUCCAAACGGCUUUCCAAAUUCGUUCAAGAUCUGUUUCUCCCAGUACAGGCUACAUCUAUCUCGCCCUUGUGGAUUUUCUGGUUCAGACCGUGCAACGUUCUCUGGUUCCAUCUCUUUUCCAGACCCUAACUCACACUCUUCAGGACAAUAGCCAAUUGAUCACCAGACAUUUUUGGACUUCCACACCUUCCACACCUGUUCCUUCCAUCUGUCCUCCAGUGGUAUGCUGGAGCUGGCUCUUGUGGGCUCAGGCACAUCUCUGGUCCCAACUCUGCUCAGUGGCAUCUUGUUGGUACCCUGAAAUCUGCCACAGUAGGAGAACGUACGCCGUGGAAAUUAGCAAAUCCUACUCGUCAGGGCUUCCCCCCUCCCCCCACCGCCCUUGAAGUUCCGGUUGUUAAACAUUCACUAGCACACUGCCGUCACCUCCUGCUCUCUGCCUGGAAGAUUCCUACUUAUUCUCCAAGACAGAGUGCUUCUCUGUGAAGCUUUAUUUGACUCCCACAGAGAAACAGGGAGAAGAAAGCAACCCCUCUGUGCUGAGCCUCUGGGCUGGGUGCUUUACAUACAUAAUUGUCAUGUCUUUACUAAAGCAGUUGUAUCGUAUUAUAAUUAUUGGUGAUUGCCUCCUUGAUAAGUGCUAAGUGUAAGGAUUGCAGUCUAUAUUGAUCUGUAAAAUUCCAGGGACCUUGAAAGUAUCUUUUAUAAAUAGUGAGUUCUUAGUGAACGUCAAGUAUUUAAUUAAGCAAACACUGGGAGGAAAAAUUGGAUUGCUUUGUUUCUUCUGUCUCUGUUCUGCCAAAGAGUACCCCCCCACACCACAAUCAAAGCUGAAUAUUUGACCAAUGUCUUCUGCUGGGUGAUUUUUUUAAAUUUACAAUAAACAAAUUUAUACAAAGGUAUCACUAAGUAUAAUACUUGUGGCAUGUUUACAAAUGUAGAAGGGUCUGUAGGAACUGGUAUAUAAAGAUGGAAAUUUUAGGGGCACCUGGCUGGCUCAGACAGAGCAUGUGACUCUUGAUCUCGGGGUUGUGAGUUCGAGCCCCACAUUGGGUGUAGAGAUUACUUAAAAAUAAACUCUUUUAAAAAAGAUGGAAAUUGGGGCGCCUGGGUGGCUCAGUUGGUUAAGCGUCAGACUUGGGCUCAGGUCAUGAUCUCGCGGUCCGUGAGCUCGAGCCCCACAUCGGGCUCUGUGCUGACAGCUCAGAGCCUGGAACCUGCUUCAGAUUCUGUGUCUCCCUCUUUCUCUGCCCCUCCUCUGCUCAUGCUCUAUUCCUCUCUGUCUCUCAAAAACAAACAAACAAACAGAAUAUUAAAAAAAGAUGGAAAUUUUAGGUCUAUGGGAGGCAGGUGGGGAAGGCAUUUUUGGUCAGAGGCGCUUUUUAGUGACCUCUCUUAUUAAAUCUGUGGGGGUAAAAGACAUGCUUAGCAUCAUACCUGGCCUGAAAUAUGGACUUUAUAGGUAGCUACAACCGCCACCUCCACCCUCAUCAUCAUCUUCUUCUCCUUCUCCUUCUCCUUCUUCUUCAUCGAAUAUUCCUGAGGAACAGAGCUAGGCAGAGCUAAGAAGCCAUUUGAUUGACCUGGAGCUCUGUGUGGAAGCUUGCAAACUCCUUGUUUUGCCCUCUCAUUUUCCCUUAAAUUUAUUAAAGCAUCGAAACAUUGUGAAGAAAGCUUUUUUUCUUGUGGCUGUUAGGAUGCUUUGUACAUACGCCUGACCGCACCCCCCCCCCCCACCUGCCAGUGGGAGAAGCAAGCGGUAAAUAUUACUUUGAUCUGAUCUGAAUAGAUGGAGUAAAAUGAUUGGCUGAAAGGACCUUCCCUGUAAUUUAUUCAAGCCAACUUAGCCAAAAGCUAGGAUGUAGAUGAAAGGUUAUGUCACAUCAUCCUUACGAGAGCAAACAGUCUAUGCAGAAGCAGCAGUAAAGUUUGCCCGCUGUAUUCUGAUCUUACUGCUACAGGAAUAAGUAUUUUGCAGUAACAGUGAAGUAUUCUGAUCUUACCACUCAUCGGUCUCUGUCCAAAGGCCAGAGAGUUGCAGCAAUAAAAUCAGAACAGAGACAGUUGUGGGUUACGAAGGGGGUUUCACGGAAGAGAUGAGACCUGCAUCAGAGGGAGGGAUAAAUUACGAAGGAUGUCCUGAGGGAAGAAAGUUAACUGGGGUAAAUAUUUAGAAUCGCAUUUCCUGCCCUGUGCUUUUACAAAAACGGCAUUUGGCAAAAAGCAUUCUAAGACCAAAGAAGUUUGGGAAAUGGUGCAUAUAUCCAGCUUGGGUUACGCUAUGUAUCAUAUGCUCUGGGAACACCUGAAGUGAAGAACCCUGAUCAGCUCCGUUUAAUCUGUUUCCCAGCUGUGCUUGAUCGGGGCAUCUCCUUUUAGGGAAUACCUAUUAACAUCUUCGAGAAUGUUCAAGUGCCAUCGGGCCUCAAUUGGGACACACUAAUUUACAGGAUGUUUCUGAAAACUAGCAUUUAUUUAUGCCUUUUUUGAGACCUCAAAAGAGUCCGUCUCAUCCUCAGUUCACACUACCUUAUGCUCACAAUUUCAACAGGGCUUCUCUUGUAUUUUAUCUUUCCCCUUUAUCCCCAACCCCCCACUCCCCGCCUCAAGUACCCAUGUUCAUGUGUUUAUUAUCUUCCUUAAAUAUGCCUUUAUCUUGAUUAAAACAGAGAGGGGGGCAAACCAUAAGAGACUCUUGGAACAAACUCAGGGUUGCUGGAGGGGAGGUGGGGGGCGAUGGGUUAAAUGGGUGAUGGGCACGAAGGGAGGCACUUUUGGGGAUGAGCACUGGGUAGCAUAUGUAAGAGAUGAAUCAUCGGGUUCUACUCCUGAAGCCAAGAGUUCACUGUCUGUUAACUAACUUGUAUUUAAAUUUAAAAUAAUGUACCUUUAUCUCAUACAAGAUAGUGUUUUGUGCAUAUGUGCUUUAUGUUUUAUUUUUUCCUCUAUUUUUUUCUCACCCAGUACUGUGUUUUAAAGAGCUAAGAUUGUUGUCCAUUCAUCUCAUUUGCUGUUUUAUCUGCUGCACAGGAUUCCACAGUAUGCAGCCCACCUACUUACUCAUCCAUCCCUCCACUAAUAGACACCAAGUUUGAUGGCGUUGGGGACCUUGAGACUGAGACACCAGAACAGAGAGAAUAGUCAUGUCUCCUAGAUAAAUAGUUUGAAAAGUUCUCUUCUAUUAAAUAAUGAAAUAACCUGGCCAAUUUUGGCAAGCUGACCUAAUCAAGUCCUGGUCAUUAUGAAGAGUGAAUUUCAGAAGAAAUAGCCUUCAAAUAAUUUUCUAGAGCAGGCAGGGACUGAAGAUCACUUGGUUCAGAUUGUCCACAUCUGCCAUCCAAAACUUUUAACUUUAUGCAGUUUUCAAGAUUGAGCCCUUAACCUUAAAUAUGACUGUUGAAAAUAAAACAUUUUCUUAAAAAUGCAUAAAGGAGAAGAAACAGUCCAUUAUAGCUUGUGGCAAGUGGUCUUGAGCUGGGCGUUGAACAGUCUUCCCAGUUGACCACGUCAGGAGAGCAGGGAGGGAUUGGCAUAAGGUCCGAAAGAGUCUCAUACUGAGGCACCUUGACCUUCUCUCGAUUACCCACCCCCAGGACCUUCCAGUUCCCAUUUAGUAUGCUAAACAAAGUAUUUAAUAUUAACUCCUGCUUCAGGUAAUAACUAUGGAAGAGAAUCAUGGCAAAUUGAGAGAGUCAGAGGAAUGCCAACUUUAGAGGAAGCUUCUAAUGGUGUUGAACAGGAAGUAUCAUAUAGUUCAAGAACUUCUUAGCAAUAGAGGCAACUCUUCCAGGUAAUUAAAGUACCUGGAAUUUGUUCCUUCAACUUGGACGCUUUUUAUUUCCUUCAAAAAGUGAGUGAUUGUGAAAGUCCUCUCAAUACUCUACCACAGUUCUGAUGCACCUCAAGAGCUGCAUUUCCAGGCAAAGUGUGUAACAGGACACAUGGCUUCAGCCUAAACUGUGAAAAAUACAUAUUGAAGAAGUAGAGAUUUCCUAAAUUCCAGCGAUAUGUAGAUUCCUGCCAUAGCCAAUAUUAAUGAACUCCAUUGCCAAAGAGAUGGCUGAACUUAGAGAAUGAACUUUAUGUACAACUGGGGAGAGGAUUUUCUGCAGUUGGGAUUAACAGCCACUGAUUAAACUCUUGAGUGAGGCAGAAAAGGUUUAUUGGGCAUCAGAAGAAAUGGAGCUGGUUGAACCACACAGAGAGACUUCUGGAUCAGAAUGUCUAAGGGUUUUUACCAAUUCACUUAAGAGGGAUGAUGGGUUCAUAUAAAAAAAUUGCAUAUUAUUUGUAGUGUUGCCUCCUGCCUUGAGUUCAGUAGCUCAGUGCCUAGACUGUAGGAAGCAUUCAGUAUAUUUUUAGAAUGAAUGAAUAAAUAUAAGCAGCUUAAAUUAACUGGUGGUUAUUGCUUAGACUUCAUUUUAUCUACUGAUUUAUUUAUAUUAUUAAGCUCUUUUUUUUUUUUUUUAGAACAUGUUUAGCUUCACAGAAAAAUUGAGGGGAAGGUACAGCGAUUUCUCAUAUAGCCCCUGCCCCCGUACACAUGCAUACCCUCCCCCGUUAAGAAAAUCCCCCACCAGAGCAGUACAUUUGUUACAAUUGAUGAGCCUACAUUGACACAUCAUAAUCAUCCAAAGGCCAUAGUUUGUCUUUGUGUUCUCACUCUUUGUGUUGUACAUCCUGUGGGUUUGGACAAAUGUAUAAUAAUGUGUAUCUAUCAUUAUAGUAUCAUACAGAGUGUUUUCACUACCCCCCAAAAUCCUCUGUGCUCAGCCUAUUCAUCCCCCUCCCCAUCCACUGGAAACCACUAUCUUAUGAUUCUAGUUGGAAUUAUGCAAUAUACAACCUUUUCAGAAUGGCUUCCUUUACUUGGUAAUAUGCAUUUAAGAUUCCUCCAUAUCCUUUCAUGGCUUGGUAGCUUAUUUCUCUAGUGCUGAAUAAUACUCUAUUGUCCGGAUGACCCACACUUUAUCUAUCCAUUCAUCUACUGAAAGACAUCUUGGUUGCUUCCAUGUUUUGGCGAUUAUGAAUAAAGCCGCUAGAAACAUCCAUGUGUAAGUUUUUGUGUGGAUAUAAGUUUUUGAUUCUUUUGGGUAAAUACAGUACCAAGAAGCACAAUUGCCACAAGGUGUGGUCAGAGCAUGUUUAGUGUGUAAGAAACUGCCAACUGUCUUCCAAAAUGGCUGUACCAAGUUCAUUUUAUUAUAUACGUUUAUAAAGCUGUAAGUCGAGGAACCCCUUUAGAUACUUAUUGGGUGAUCCACACCUAAAAACUGUAGUCAAGGCUAGUGACCACAGUGAAAAGGCCAGGUGAACGGCCAACUUACAGAAGGAGGUCUUAACAAGGCUUAUUUUUCGUAGGACAUGUUGCAUGUUGGAUUAUCGUGGGCGGGGGAAGGAAACCAAAUGUUGGACCUAGUACCUACGUUUGAUUAUUGGAUUAGAGUCAUUUGAUGUCUCUUAGAUCAUAGGAACAAACACCCCCCAUCUCAAGUAUGAGAUCUCCAUGUUUGUGUCCUCAGCUGAGGGCCUUUUCCUCUGUCCUGGUAUGAUAUAGUCAAACGAGCUGUGCCGAGAUUGGCCUCCAGUGUAAUACAGCGCCCGGCCACAUCUGUGACUCUGUAGCCAAACACAGCCCAAGCUUUCCAGAUGUUUCAGCGGAGCACGCAAGCCAUCUGUUCACGGGCACUUUACAGAAUCAUAAUGGGAAAGGGGACAGAUGCAAGGGCCUGGCUUCCAGCCCCAACAACAAUAGUAAUGACUUAAGAGGAAUAUUUAUUUUGUAUGUUUACUCAGAUGUUUGGAAAUGAGCUUCAGAAAAAAGUCAAUAAAAAUAACACAAACUGUGGGGGAAC